rnacentral:lncRNA from 1 species
GUCCUGCAUUUCUUGUUAUAGUUUUAACUCAAAACUAUCUUUAUAAUUUACACUAUUCUUGUCCUGCAUUUCUAGUAAUGUAAUAUUAAUAAUUUGUCCCGCAUAUUUGUGAUAUAUCUAAGUGUUCUUUUGUCUUGCAACAAAUACAAUUCGUUGCAGGACAAUGACAAUGAGUUAAGUGUCAAUCAUAGCAAUGUCCAACUACAUCCUUGUUUUGUAUGCAAUUAUUAUUUUUAUUUGUUAGAAUUUUGGUAAUUGAAUACCAAUAUUAUGGAAUUAUUAUUUUAUGUUAUGCAUGAUUUAGAAGUUCUGCUUGUUGUUCACCGAUUUAGAAGUGCAGGACAGGAUAGGGAGAUAAAACGAAUGUGCAGGACAAAUAUCUGCAGCCCUUGGAUGAGUGAGAAAUGGAUGGCUGUGAUUAAGUCUCUAAAGCCUCCACAAAAACCAGUCUCCG